rnacentral:rRNA from 1 species
GAAUAGGGGAGCCGGAGGGAAACCGAGUCUUAAUUGGGCGUUAAGUUGCAGGGUAUAGACCCGAAACCCGGUGAUCUAGCCAUGGGCAGGUUGAAGGUUGGGUAACACUAACUGGAGGACCGAACCGACUAAUGUUGAAAAAUUAGCGGAUGACCUGUGGCUGGGGGUGAAAGGCCAAUCAAACCGGGAGAUAGCUGGUUCUCCCCGAAAGCUAUUUAGGUAGCGCCUCGUGAAUUCAUCUCCGGGGGUAGAGCACUGUUUCGGCUAGGGGGCCAUCCCGGCUUACCAACCCGAUGCAAACUGCGAAUACCGGAGAAUGUUAUCACGGGAGACACACGGCGGGUGCUAACGUCCGUCGUGAAGAGGGAAACAACCCAGACCGCCAGCUAAGGUCCCAAAGUCAUGGUUAAGUGGGAAACGAUGUGGGAAGGCCCAGACAGCCAGGAUGUUGGCUUAGAAGCAGCCAUCAUUUAAAGAAAGCGUAAUAGCUCACUGGUCGAGUCGGCCUGCGCGGAAGAUGUAACGGGGCUAAACCAUGCACCGAAGCUGCGGCAGCGACGCUGAUGCGUUGUUGGGUAGGGGAGCGUUCUGUAAGCCUGCGAAGGUGGCCUGUGAGGGUUGCUGGAGGUAUCAGAAGUGCGAAUGCUGACAUAAGUAACGAUAAAGCGGGUGAAAAGCCCGCUCGCCGGAAGACCAAGGGUUCCUGUCCAACGUUAAUCGGGGCAGGGUGAGUCGACCCCUAAGGCGAGGCCGAAAGGCGUAGUCGAUGGGAAACGGGUUAAUAUUCCCGUACUUGGUGUUACUGCGAAGGGGGGACGGAGAAGGCUAUGUUGGCCGGGCGACGGUU